UGGUUCCAUUCUAGCGACCAGACUUACUCUCUUCUAUGCGUUCAGAACACGUCCUGGCUGAGUCUCACAGCACCGAGAUGCUUCCUUUUGGAGGUUUUGGCCACCAAAUAGGUUGUGGACUCAGGGCAGGUAUGUAGUUGGUGUCUGGGAGGAUGAGGUAUGGGCUGCCUGCCCCUGGAGUGCCCAUCCUGCACUGUUAAGCUGCCUAGCAGUGGCCUCCAGGGCCCCAGUGAUUCUUUCAGGUGGUGUUGGUACAGAGCUAUCCCUUUUCAUCCUGGUAGCUCAUUCUAACCCCGGUGCAGCCCGUGGUGGACUGUGUAGUGGUAAGUGGGUAUCUGGGGGUGAGGGGGAGCUAAGGACACAGUCCACUGAUCUUUGCUCAUCGCCAUGCCUGCCUGGUGCACACAGCUGAAACAAGAUUCGCAGAACCCGUAAGUGUGUGUAUACAACCAUGAUGAGCUCUUGAGGCUACCCUUGGGCAAAUUCUUAGGCAGUGUUCCCAUGACUCCUGCCCUUCCUCAGCUCUGCUUUCCCUGCUCCCUGUGGCUCUUCCUUCCCUAGGAAAGUCCUCCCUGCUGUGGUCUGGUGAUGUCAGGGUGGGCUGGGUCACUCAGUUUCUGGAGGAGAAGUGUUUCAUCAGAGCUGAGGCUUCUCUGCCACUCACCUGAAUAUUCUGUCCAUAGCAGGUUUUGCCAAGCAUUGCUGGGGUUGACUCUGUGGUCUACUUUGUCUUUAAUGUUGGGGGAAGGGGGAGAGGUGAAGAAGCCAGCAAGCCUGAGUGGUUUAUACAUUGUUGUGUCCUCAGGACCCUGCCCUGGGGAGACUUCACCUGGGCACGGCAGGCACAGGCAGAAAGCAGGAGGGCACAGGUCUCCACCUGGAGGUCCUGGAACCCAACACAGAUGAGUGGGUACAGGUUGGGUCAAGGUAGGGAGCAGGUGUAGAAGGAGGGUUCUCAUAUCAGGGGUCCAGGGCAGCUGCCCCCUUCCUGUCCCUCACCCUUUCCUGGGCAGCAAAUGGUCACCACCUUCCCUGGAAGCAUGUGGGAAGAGCUGGUCAGGAUCUCGUGUCUGUCGUAACUCCGAAGGCUCUCCCACUCACCACAUAGCUCUUCGCUCUGCUGUUGGCUGCGGGGCUGGAUUGUGGCGGAAGCUCUCAACCCACCCAUGUUCUAGCCCCUGGAAACCUCUAACCUGCUUUGGUAUCCAUGACCUUCUGACUGUAGACACUGAGAAUAAGCCGUUGAGUGCAGGCCCUUCCAGGGCCUCAUCUUUUCCUGAGCAGUGUUCCACGCUGCUGCUGGAGCCACACAUCGCUCCCUCCUGGAGCUCCGUCGCCCCCAUUAUGCAGAGCGGCCUUGCUGUGUCUCUCCCUUCAUCGUUUACCGGUGUGUAAGAUGUUUCCUGGCUGUCGAGAGUAAUGCUGCUGUGAGAAUCUAUUUCCAGUUCUGUGUGGAUGUCUGUUUUCAUUAUUUUGGGUCUGUAAUAGUAGAACAUGUAGGUCAUAUGUCAGGUAACCAUUUUCUACAUACUGGAGGUUACAUACAUCCUUACAAGUAGUGUACACGUGAGGGGUUCAACUUCUUCACACGGUUUGUGAUUUUUAAAGAACUUUCCGUCCUUAAGGCAGAAUCCAUUAAUAUGCCUCAGUCAAUUGCCUUGUCAGGUGCGAACCCGUAACUUCAGACCUUGGCAGGCUGGGGCAAGAGAAUGGCAGAUUUGAAGCCAGCUUGGGCCACCGAUUCAGAAUGCGCUCAAAACAAAACCACACAGACAAGAACCAAAGUUACUGGAGAUAGUUCCUGUUUAACUUUAUAUUAGGUUUAUAGAAACUCCCACUUAUGGUUAAGUCAGCUUUAUAAUGGCAUAGAAUAUUUGCAUGCUUUCUAGACAAAUCUAAACAAAUCAGAUGUGCCUUAAAAAAUCUGCGUAGAAGGACUUUACUCUUUUUAUGUCCCAGAGACAGACUUUCAGGGGGCACACCACUCAUGUCAGGCACGUGGCUCUGAGCUCCAUUCCCUCUUCACCUGGCCUGCUGACCUCUAGCCCAAGACCAUACCACCAGAACUCUUUUUUGGAGACGUGCCCGUGCUUGCCUUUACUGAAAGGUAGAGCCCAGACAGCAGUGUGCACCCAGUCAGGCCCUGCUGUCUGCAGGGCUGCGUCCACUCCCACUGUUGUAGAUGCUGCUGCUGUGGACAGCUGGUGCAGAUGUCUCUCCUGUUUCCAUAAAGCCUUUUCCGGAGACAGCCCCGGCUUCGUAGCCAUGUCAAGUGGAACGAAUUAACUUCCCAAAGGCUGACGAUGGCUACCCUGAGGCCUCUGGCUCAGUUUAUUGGUAACAGUCAGAAAACGUCUACCAUUUGGAAACUUUUCCUACCCUGAGAAGGGCCUCUGAAUUUAGACCCAGUCCAGCUCAGUAUAUACUCAAAACUCAGCUGGGAAAGGUGAGAACACCUACCUGGUGUCUCAGGAGACUUCCCGCCUUCCAGGAAGCCUGUUUAAAAGAUGCAAAAGGUCUGAAGAGGAAGCACUUGGCAUGGGCCCAGAACCUCAGACAGCAGUAUGUCGGCCCAGCACUGUGCUGUGGGGAGUUGGAGAAUGGCUGCUUCCAGCUGCCUGUCACUCCUGUCCCAGCAAACCAGCAUAGGAGUACUGGUCACGUGUUCUGUGUCAUGAGCGCAUUCCUGAGGGGUCAAGCCCAGUACCAGAACCCACCCAGGAAUCAGACAGAUGGGGCGGGUCCUUCAGGCCUACCAGGAGGUAGUACAGCAGCAAGCUUUCCAACAGAAGCGAAAGGCCAGCCUCACACAGGCAGAACACUGGCUGAAAUGCAGAGUGAGACAUCAGCAGGUCUGGCCAGUGUGACAGCAUCGCCACAAAGCUUUCUGGUGACACGUGUGGUCUCCUUCCCUGGGGUGGUGUAUUAGUCAGGGUUCUCUAAAGGAACAAGACAGUGUAUAUACCUACAUACAUAUAUGUUGGACUGGCUUACAGGAUGCAGUGUGGGUACCCCAGCAACAGCUGUCUCACACUGGCAAGGCUGAGAACCUGGCAGUUGCCCAGUCCCUAGGCUGGAUGUCUCAGAGUCCCAAUCCACUGCUGGAGUCUUGAGGAGCAGCAGCUCUUCUGUCUACAUCGGCAUCCUGAAGAGGCUGUUUCUAACACCAGUGAAGGAAUGCCUCAGUGACCAGAUAGAUGACCUUACCAAUGAGAGUCAGGACAAACAGGCGAAAAAGCAAAGCUUCCUUUUUCUGUGUCCGUUUCUGUGGGCUGCUGCCCUCAUUUAGUGGGGGAGGGGAGCGUCCGGCUUCAAAUAAUCAGGUUAAUAAAAUCCUUCCCAGGAGUGCCUAGCAUCCUGGGUUUCACUUGUACUCCAUACGCAUCAGGUUGACAGCCAAGAUUAUCUAUCACAAGUGGGUUAUGAUACAGCUCUAGUUCUGCAUCGGGGAGACAAAUGGUGAUGUCUGCUCCAUCCGUGCCCCCGGAAGGGGCAGUUACCUUCACUCUCUGCAAGCAUCUGGGUCUGUUUCACGGAUGUCAUGAUUUGAUCACGGGAGUCCCAUGUCUGGCAGGUGCCCCUGUCCUCCCCGUGAUGUGCAGCACGGCAAGUGUAGUGACCGACAGGUGCUCACAGGCUUCUCUCCUGUGUGUGAGUCCCACCUCUCUGUGCAAACAUGGAAGAAAAGCAGGAAGCUGUGGCAAGAGACCAGCCUUCAAGGCUGGAGUCCUCCACAUUUCUGGAGCAUGUUGCUCCAGAAGAUGGCCUCCAGAAGGAAGGAAGGUCAUUCCUGCCAGGAGACUAAGAGGAAGCAGAUGGGCUUAAGGCUGAGUGUGUUGGCCCUACUGGAGAAGCCCCUCCGUGGGUGGUCUUCUGGACCUGUCUGAUUCCACCAGCAUUACCACCCUGGCUGGGGCACAUUGUCAUUGGUCGCCAUGGAUGUCCUGACCCUGCUGAACAAAUGUUGUGGAACCCGUGCUCUUUAGUUCUUUGCUUUCUGAUGGCUUUCCUAUCUGUUCAGUGGUCAGAGAUGAAGGUUUUUGGGGAAAGCUGACAUGUAUUUUUCUUAAACCUGGUUUUCUUCCACCUGGCCUUAGCUUCCUGACUGAAAACAUUCUUUGGCGUCAACUUCAUUGGCCACUUGUCAAAGGAUGAAAACCACUCAAGCUGUCUCCCACCCUGGACAUGCAGGAAUGCUGAAGAAACGACACUAACCCCCCUUUUUUUCUCUCUGAAUUUUAAGUGUGGUCCUUGUUCACUGUAAAAACUUUAGAAUCAUUUAAAAGACUAAAAGAAGUAAAUAAAAAUUUCCCACAUUUUA